rnacentral:rRNA from 1 species
UACGGGGGGAGCAAGCGUUGUUCGGAUUUACUGGGCGUAAAGCGCACGUAGGCGGUCUGUUAUGUCGGAUGUGAAAGCCCUUGGCUUAACUGAGGAAGUGCAUCCGAAACUGGCAGGCUAGAGUACUAAAGAGGAUAGCGGAAUUCCCAGUGUAGAGGUGAAAUUCGUAGAUAUUGGGAAGAACACCGGUGGCGAAGGCGGCUAUCUGGACCGACAUUGACGCUGAGGCGCGAAAGCCAGGGGAGCAAACGGG